rnacentral:rRNA from 1 species
AGCAGCCACUCAUUAAAAGAGUGCGUAAUAGCUCACUGGUCGAGUGACUCUGCGCCGAAAAUUUAACGGGGCUAAACUAUACACCGAAGCUUGGGAUACAUCUAAUGUAUGGUAGGAGAGCGUUCUGUAUGGGGAGAAGUCGUAGCGAAAGCGGCGGUGGACUAUACAGAAGUGAGAAUGCCGGAAUAAGUAGCGAGAAUUAAGUGAGAAUCUUAAUGGCCGAAAGUCUAAGGUUUUUGGAGGAAGGUUCGUCCGCUCCAAGUAAGUCGGGAGCUAAGGUCAGGCCGAAAGGCGUAGCCGAUGCACAUACGGUUGAUAUUCCGUAACCAUCUGUAAUUUAAGCAAAGGGACACUUCAAAAGGGUGUGACCCGGGCGUUGGUUGACCCGGGCGUAAGGGACCGAAAUUAGAGUAGGGAAGCACACUUAGCUGAAGGCGAGAAAAGCUUUGCGUAUAGAAACAGAUGCCCGUACCGCAAACCGACACAGGUGGACAGGAAGAGAAUUCUAAGGCCAGCGGGAGAAGGGUAGUUAAGGAACUCGGCAAAUUGACUCCGUAACUUCGGAAUAAGGAGUGCUCGAAAGAGCCGCAGAGAAUAGGCCCAGGCGACUGUUUAGCAAAAACACAGGUCUCUGCCAAAUCGAAAGAUGAAGUAUAGGGGCUGACACCUGCCCGGUGCCGGAAGGUUAAGAGGAGGAGUGAGAGCUCCGAAUUGAAGCCCCGGUAAACGGCGGCCGUAACUAUAACGGUCCUAAGGUAGCGAAAUUCCUUGUCGGGUAAGUUCCGACCCGCACGAAUGGUGUAACGAUCUGGGCACUGUCUCAACUACCCACCCGGCGAAAUUGUAGUACCGGUGAAGAUGCCGGUUACCUGCGGCAAGACGGAAAGACCCCAUGGAGCUUUACUGUAGCCUGAUAUUGGGUUUCGGAAAUCUAUGUACAGGAUAGGCGGGAGACUAGGAAACAUGAGCGUCAGCUUGUGUGGAGUCGAUGUUGGGAUACCGCCCUUAGGUUUCUGGAAUUCUAACCUGCGGCCGUGAAUCCGGUCGGGGGACAUUGUCAGGUGGGCAGUUUGACUGGGGCGGUCGCCUCCGAAAAGGUAACGGAGGCGCUCAAAGGUUAGCUCAGCACGGACGGAAACCGUGCCUCUGAGUGUAAACGCAAAAGCUAGCCUAACUGCGAGGGUGACGGCCCGAGCAGUAACGAAAGUUGGAGUUAGUGAUCCGGCGGUAUGUGAAUGGAAAUGCCGUCGCUCAACGGAUAAAAGCUACCCUGGGGAUAACAGGCUGAUCU